CCCAUUUGAAUUGUUGUACGGGUGCAAGCCUCGUGGCAUCUUAGACAUCAUUAGGGUGAGGACAUCAUCAGUGAGGAGACAUCAUCAG